UACGUAGGGGGCAAGCGUUGUCCGGAUUUAUUGGGCGUAAAGAGCGUGUAGGCGGCCUGAAAGGUCAGCUGUGAAAACUCGAGGCUCAACCUCGAGACGUCGGUUGAAACCAUCUGGCUAGAGUCCGGAAGAGGAGUGUGGAAUUCCCGGUGUAGCGGUGAAAUGCGCAGAUAUCGGGAGGAACACCUGUGGCGAAAGCGGCUCACUGGACCACAACUGACGCUGAUGCACGAAAGCUAGGGGAGCAAACAGG
rnacentral:rRNA from 1 species